CAAGGUUUUUAUUUAUUUUUUUUUCUACAGCUCUCUUUUCUUUCCUGGUUGUACAGACAGCCCCAGGAGCACGGUGAGCUCUUUGCAAGCUGCCAGUGCCUGUGCUGAGCACAAUUCCUGGCACUGAGGAGGGGCCCCACAGCCCUGGGCUGGGGGUGAUGAUGCUGCCUGCGUGUCCUGCAGCUGAGAGAAGAGGAACACUCACAGCCCUGCCUGCCUGGAGGAGCAGGCACAGAAACUCCUGCAUGCAGAGCUCGGAUUUUAAACUGGGCAAAGCCAACUGGGAACUGAAACACCCUCCCUGGAGCAGGAAGGGGUCCUGGUUGUGCUGCUGUAAAGGACUCUGCUCCUCCAGCCCAGGGCUGGCAGAGGACGUGCCACACCCCAUGGGCAUGAAAACGUGGAAAAAUGGGAUUGGGGUGAGCACUGCCCUUGGAAGAUUCACCUUUUGUCCAGAGAGAGAAAAUUUCUGUGCCAGGUGGAAAUUUGUCCCUUCAACCUUUGCACGUGGAUUUUCUCCUCUAAACCCACCAACGGCUGUCCCUCUGCUUCCUGCCUCUGCUGCAGAGAAUUCCAAAGGAGUUCUUCACUCCCAAACCUCCCCUGCUGCGGCUGCCCUGGAUCCCUGCAGUGCCCAGGCUGGAGCACCUGGGCAGCGGGAGGUGUCCCUGGCGUGGCAGGGCUGGCACUGGGUGGGAUUUAAGGUCCUCUCCAAGCCAGCCCAGUCUGGGAUCCCGUGGUGUGCCCCAGCUGUUCCCCAGCCAGCUCCAGAGUUUGGUCCCUCACCAAGGUGUGAGCUCCACCAUCUCAGCCGUAAGUUCAGCUCGGAUUUUCCCCA